rnacentral:rRNA from 1 species
AUACAGAGGGUGCGAGCGUUAAUCGGAAUUACUGGGCGUAAAGCGCGCGUAGGCGGCUUAUUAAGUCAGAUGUGAAAUCCCCGGGCUCAACCUGGGAACUGCAUCUGAUACUGGUAAGCUAGAGUUUUGGAGAGGGAAGUAGAAUUUCAGGUGUAGCGGUGAAAUGCGUAGAGAUCUGAAGGAAUACCAGUGGCGAAGGCGACUUCCUGGCCAAAAACUGACGCUGAGGUGCGAAAGCGUGGGUAGCAAACGGGAUUAGAAACCCUAGUAGUCC